rnacentral:rRNA from 1 species
AACGAACGCUGGCGGCAUGCCUAACACAUGCAAGUCGAACGAGACCUUCGGGUCUAGUGGCGCACGGGUGCGUAACGCGUGGGAACCUGCCUUUAGGUUCGGAAUAACUCAGAGAAAUUUGAGCUAAUACCGGAUAAUGUCUUCGGACCAAAGAUUUAUCGCCAAAGGAUUGGCCCGCGUUGGAUUAGGUAGUUGGUGGGGUAAUGGCCUACCAAGCCUACGAUCCAUAGCUGGUUUGAGAGGAUGAUCAGCAACACUGGGACUGAGACACGGCCCAGACUCCUACGGGAGGCAGCAGUGGGGAAUCUUAGACAAUGGGCGCAAGCCUGAUCUAGCCAUGCCGCGUGAGCGAUGAAGGCCCUUAGGGUUGUAAAGCUCUUUCGUGGGGGAAGAUAAUGACGGUACCCCAAGAAGAAGCCCCCGGCUAAACUCCGUGCCAGCAGCCGCGGUAAAGUGACUACUG